rnacentral:lncRNA from 1 species
AACUUUGUAAAUUAAAACAGAUUGUAAAAACGAAAUUGAUUUAAAUGGGUGGAUGGAAGGCUAGCUAAGGGGUUCAUCUCCACACAUGUUAUACUUGCAUAUAAAACGAUUUCCAAUUGCUUUUCAAUAAACCAUGAACUCUCAACGCCCCAAGUUAAUUAGGUCCGCUUAAAUUAACCUUCAGAUUUUCCUAACGUUAUUGAAUUGGAUGA